ACCAGACUCCUACGGGAGGCAGCAGUGAGGAAUAUUGGUCAAUGGGCGCGAGCCUGAACCAGCCAAGUCGCGUGAGGGAAGACGGUCCUAUGGAUUGUAAACCUCUUUUGUCGGGGAGCAAAAGACGCCACGCGUGGCGUUCCGAGAGUACCCGAAGAAAAAGCAUCGGCUAACUACGUGCCAGCAGCCGCGGUAAUACGUAGGGGGCAAGCGUUAUCCGGAUUUACUGGGUGUAAAGGGAGCGUAGACGGACUUGCAAGUCUGAUGUGAAAAUCCGGGGCCCAACCCCGGAACUGCAUUGGAAACUGUAUAUCUAGAGUGUCGGAGAGGCAAGUGGAAUUCCUGGUGUAGCGGUGAAAUGCGUAGAUAUCAGGAGGAACACCAGUGGCGAAGGCGGCUUGCUGGACGAUGACUGACGUUGAGGCUCGAAAGCGUGGGGAGCAAACAGGAUUAGAUACCCGCGUA
rnacentral:rRNA from 1 species